rnacentral:rRNA from 1 species
CCCUUAGAUGUUCUGGGCCGCACGCGUGCUACACUGAGUAAUUCAAUGGGUAAGGGAACGCUAGAGCAUUACCUAAUCUUGAAAUUUGCUCGUGAUGGGGAUCGACGGUUGCAAUUUUCCGUCGUGAACGAGGAAUACCUUGUAGGCGCAUGUCAUCAUCAUGCGCCGAAUACGUCCCUGCCCUUUGUACACACCGCCCGUCGCUCCUACCGAUUGAGUGAUCCGGUGAGGCUCUGGGACCUGGACGGAAAGAGCGUUUCGCUUGUUCUGUUUGGGAAACUUGGUCGAACCUUAUCAUUGAGAGGAAGGAGAAGUCGUAACA